rnacentral:rRNA from 1 species
UGCCGCGUGCAGGAAGACGGCCCUACGGGUUGUAAACUGCUUUUGUACGGGAAUAAUUCCUAUUAUGUAUAAUAGGUUGAAUGUACCGUAAGAAUAAGGAUCGGCUAACUCCGUGCCAGCAGCCGCGGUAAUACGGAGGAUCCGAGCGUUAUCCGGAAUUAUUGGGUUUAAAGGGUGCGUAGGCGGCCCGGUAAGUCAGGGGUGAAAGACGGUGGCUCAACCAUCGCAGUGCCUUUGAUACUGCCGGGCUUGAAUAUACUUGAGGUGGGCGGAAUGUGACAAGUAGCGGUGAAAUGCAUAGAUAUGUCACAGAACGCCGAUUGCGAAGGCAGCUCACUAAGGUAAGAUUGACGCUGAGGCACGAAAGCGUGGGGAUCAAACAGGAUUAGAUACCCUGGUAGUCCACGCCCUAAACGAUGAACACUCGGUGCUGGCGAUAUACGGUCAGUGCCCAAGCGAAAGCGUUAAGUGUUCCACCUGGGGAGUACGCCCGCAAGGGUGAAACUCAAAGGAAUUGACGGGGGCCCGCACAAGCGGAGGAGCAUGUGGUUUAAUUCGAUGAUACGCGAGGAACCUUACCCGGGCUUGAAAGUUAGUGAAGUAUCCAGAGAUGGAUACGUCC